rnacentral:rRNA from 1 species
GGAAGUAAAAGUCGUAAACAAGGUCUCCGUUGGUGAACCAGCGGAGGGAUCAUUACCGAGUUUACAACUCCCAAACCCCUGUGAACAUACCUAUACGUUGCCUCGGCGGAUCAGCCCGCGCCCCGUAAAACGGGACGGCCCGCCCGAGGACCCCUAAACUCUGUUUUUAGUGGAACUUCUGAGUAAAACAAACAAAUAAAUCAAAACUUCCAACAACGGAUCUCUUGGUUCUGGCAUCGAUGAAGAACGCAGCAAAAUGCGAUAAGUAAUGUGAAUUGCAGAAUUCAGUGAAUCAUCGAAUCUUUGAACGCACAUUGCGCCCGCCAGUAUUCUGGCGGGCAUGCCUGUUCGAGCGUCAUUUCAACCCUCAAGCUCAGCUUGGUGUUGGGACUCGCGGUAACCCGCGUUCCCCAAAUCGAUUGGCGGUCACGUCGAGCUUCCAUAGCGUAGUAAUCAUACACCUCGGUACUGGUAAUCGUCGCGGCCACGCCGUUAAACCCCAACUUCUGAAUGUUGACCUCGGAUCAGGUAGGAAUACCCGCUGAACUUAAGCAUAUCAAUAAGCGGAGGAAAAGAAACCAACAGGGAUUGCCCUAGUAACG